UUGAGCCGUAUGCGGUGAAAGCCGCACGUACGGUUCUUAGGGGGGGACGGGCCAGUAAUGGCCUGUCCCUACCCGAC
rfam:Pseudomonas stutzeri A1501, complete genome.